UGCUGGUGAUGCGGACAAUCCCUGAGAAGAUACUUGAAUCUCUCUUAUGCAUGAUAUAGGUUUUCAUCUAAAUUUUGCUUAAAAUUCAGGAUUUCACUCCUCAACCU
rfam:Capsicum annuum cultivar Zunla-1 chromosome 9, whole genome shotgun sequence